rnacentral:rRNA from 1 species
AUUGAACGCUGGCGGCAGGCCUAACACAUGCAAGUCGAACGAGUGGCGGACGGGUGAGUAAUGUCUGGGGAACUGCCCGAUGGAGGGGGAUAACUACUGGAAACGGUAGCUAAUACCGCAUACUAUCGGAUGCUCCCAUAUGGGAUUAGCUUGUAGGUGAGGUAAUGGCUCACCUCGGCGACGAUACCUAGCUGGUCUGAGAGGAUGAUCAGUCACAGUGUGACUGAGACACGGCCCAGACUCCUACGGGAGGCAGCAGUGGGGAAUAUUGGACAAUGGGCGAAAGCCUGAUCCAGCCAUGCCGCGUGUAUGAAGAAGGCCUUAGGAUUGUAAAGUACUUUCAGUUGGGAGGCGUUACCAACAGAAGAAGCACCGGCUAACUCCGUGCCAGCAGCCGCGGUAAUAC